AUAAAGUGAGAACAGAGAAAAAGAAACAGGGAACUCAGUGGAUAUGGCAACAAUGAGGUCACUGAAGGCCUGCACAGUUACUAUAGAGGGUGUGAGAGCAAAAAACAGACUACUCUGAGACGCUCCUGAAAGAGUGAAUCAUUUGAAACAGGCUUUAACUUUUUUCUCAUAUAUAUGAAGUUAACAAAGAGAUGGCAACAUGUGCUUCUAUGAAGAGUAAUUAGGAAGAAUUAAAAUGAAGCAGAUGGACUUCUGUUUCCAGUCAUGAUGAAGUGAUUUAUCUAUCUUCAUUAUUUUGGACCCAAUUGCUCAGCAUGGUAAUUUAUACUCCACAGUACCUGAGAGUUCCUGUUGCUGCACAAUCCUGCCUACACUUGGCACUGGGUAGAUGAAAUAAGUGCACAUGCAAAUUCUGCAUCUUCUUUAACCUUAGAAGAUCCUGC